GAGAACUUCGGGAGGCGGGGGAGGAAAGCGGCCGGCGAGCGCUGGCUGACAUUUUCCUGCCCGGAAGGAUGCAUGGCCCGGGGUCUCCUGCACCUGAGGGUGGGCGGGAGGCGGCCCCGCGGGUUGUGUUGCUGGAAAAAGGGGUCUCGAUCCAGACCCCAAGAGAGGGUUCUUGGGUCUACUUCAGGGAAGAAUUGGAGGCGAGUCACAGAGCGCAGUGAAGGAAGCAAGUUUAUUGGAAUCUACUCCGUUAGAGAGUGCAAGUCCUCAGACUGCAGGAGGAGGAACUCCCGUCCUUCGGUAGUGUCACUACUUAGAGGCAGCUGUGAGGAGCUGUGAUUAAUCGUGGAAUGUGCUGAUGUGCCCACUAAAGAUGCCUGGUAAGCAGUGGCUCCUCUAACAAGUGGGCAGCUUGGAACUGGGAACGAGAGAGCCACCGAAACAGAAUGAGGGAGACAAAGAAGUGGGCAUCACCCUUAACUCCACAAGGGCUUCCCAAGGGCGCUGUACCGUACGCAGGCCCAGGACGAACUUUAUUUCUCGCCCCAGCAUCGCUGUCCUUGUCGGUGAGACCCUGGCUUUAGGGCAGACAGGACCACGUUUCAUAAGUUCAUGCUGUCCCAGCAGAGGAAUAACGCCAGAAAGUGUUCCAGUACAACCAGAGAAAGAGAGUCCAUGAGAAAUCUGCCCUUGUGAAGUUGGAAUCCCCUCAACCUCACCCCGCUGACUUGAAUGAAGCGACUGAGACGGGCUAUGAUGGAGCAGAUCCGGUUGCUCGACCUUCUCCCUUGCACCAACACAUGUAGUUAAUAGUUACUGGACAUGCAUAUUCAGUGGGUUCCAGGUACCAAACUUGUAUUGAAUGGUAUGUGCCAGACACCGUCUUGAGAUCUGGAGAAUAAAAAAAUAAAAAAAUAAAAACGAGACAUCCAGAGCACAGUA
rnacentral:lncRNA from 10 species